ACGAACGCUGGCGGCGUGCUUAACCCAUGCAAGUCGAACGGAAAGGCCUCUUUCGGGGGGUACUCGAGUGGCGAACGGGUGAGUAACACGUGAGUAACCUGCCCUUGACUUUGGGAUAACUUCAGGAAACUGGGGCUAAUACCGGAUAGGAGCUCCUGCUGCAUGGUGGGGGUUGGAAAGUUUCGGCGGUUGGGGAUGGACUCGCGGCUUAUCAGCUUGUUGGUGGGGUAGUGGCUUACCAAGGCUUUGACGGGUAGCCGGCCUGAGAGGGUGACCGGCCACAUUGGGACUGAGAUACGGCCCAGACUCCUACGGGAGGCAGCGGUGGGGAAUAUUGCACAAUGGGUGGAAGCCUGAUGCAGCAACGCCGUGUGCGGGAUGACGGCCUUCGGGUUGUAAACCGCUUUCGCUCAUGACGAAGCUUUGUGUGACGGUAGUGGGUAAAGAAGCACCGGCUAACUACGUG
rnacentral:rRNA from 1 species